GCCGGGGUGGCGGAACUGGCAGACGCACAGGACUUAAAAUCCUGGGCCCCUUAAGGGGCGUGUGGGUUCGAUUCCCACCCUCGGUACCA
rnacentral:tRNA from 1 species